CGAUAUGCAGGAUAUUGAAACAACAGGAAAGAGAGAGGAACACAAUAGGAAAACACGAACACGAACACACGUGUACUGUAUCGAUGCAUUUCAUGUUCUCUUUUUUUCUUCUUGCUCUUCUGUCUGUCUCCGACACGAAAAAGAAAAAAUGAAAGUUAGAGAUCAGGUUGAUGUGAUGAUGUGGAAAGAAAGACAAUGCUGUCUCUCUCUCUUUCUCUGUCUCUCUUU
rnacentral:ribozyme from 1 species